rnacentral:rRNA from 1 species
GAUGAACGCUCGCUACAGGCUUAACACAUGCAAGUCGAGGGGAAACGAUGAGAGAGCUUGCUCUCUUAGGCGUCGACCGGCGCACGGGUGAGUAACGCGUAUCCAACCUACCCAUUACAGGGGGAUAACCUUGCGAAAGUAAGACUAAUACCCCAUGGCAUUUUAUGGUGGCAUCAUUAUAGGAUUAAAGAUUUAUUGGUAAUGGAUGGGGAUGCGUCUGAUUAGCUUGUUGGCGGGGUAACGGCCCACCAAGGCAACGAUCAGUAGGGGUUCUGAGAGGAAGGUCCCCCACAUUGGAACUGAGACACGGUCCAAACUCCUACGGGAGGCAGCAGUGAGGAAUAUUGGUCAAUGGGCGAGAGCUUGAACCAGCCAAGUAGCGUGCAGGAUGACGGCCCUAUGGGUUGUAAACUGCUUUUAUAGGGGAAUAAAGUGAGCUACGUGUAGUUUAUUGCAUGUACCCGAUGAAUAAGGACGGGCUAAUUCCGUG